rnacentral:rRNA from 1 species
UAUGUGAUCGUCUCUCGCAUAUCAAUAAGCGGAGGAAAAGAAACUAACAAGGAUUCCCCUAGUAACGGCGAGUGAAGCGGGAAGAGCUCAAAUUUGAAAUCUUAAAGGGUUUCCCUUUACGAAUUGUAGUUUAAAGAAGUGUUUUCUGUUGAGGUUUUGGUAAAAGUUCUUUGGAAUAGGACAUCAUAGAGGGUGAGAAUCCCGUAUUUGACCUUUACUUUCAACUUUGUGAUACACUUUCAAAGAGUCGGAUUGUUUGGGAAUGCAGUCCAAAAUGGGUGGUAAAUUUCAUCUAAAGCUAAAUAUUGGCGAGAGACCGAUAGCGAACAAGUACCGUGAGGGAAAGAUGAAAAGAACUUUGAAAAGAGAGUUAAACAGUACGUGAAAUUGUCAAAAGGGAAGCGUUUGACACCAGUGUUGUUUUUCUGAAAAUCAAUUAAAGAACUGUUUAUGCUAAGCUGUUUAGACUUUAUCAGCUAUCUGUUUAGUUUUGAGCUUUUCUUUAAUGCACUUUUCAGUUAACAAGUCAACAUCAAUUUCUUUUGCUGUAAAAAAGCUUGAGGAAGGUGGCUUGAGAUUCGUCUUAAGUGUUUAUAGCCUCUUGCCUAUGCAGUCGGAGAGAUUGAGGUCUGCAGCGUAGAUCCUUCGGGGCUAAAUGCAUUUGUGCUAAGUUAUAGCAUUUUAUAGACAACUUGUUGACUAUGAUUUGUCUUGUAGCUUACUCGCUUAUGUUAUUUUACCUACGCUUAGGAUGUUGAGUAGCGACAUACGCAC